ACAAAACUUUCCACCACCGAUCUCUUGGUUCUCCCCUCCAUGAAAAACGCCACGAAAUGGCAUACCCAAUGGGAAUUGGCACCCUCGUGAAUCCUCCAGUUCUUGAACGCACAUUGGCCCCCUCCGCAUUUCGGGGGGGAUGGCUGGUUGAACCUCCUU
rnacentral:rRNA from 1 species